rnacentral:lncRNA from 1 species
CGAGUUAAAAAAAUGUAUACGUGCCAAGAGGCCCAUCCCCAAUAUUAAAAUUUAUCUACUGAAAAGCCAGGAACUACAUGUACUAUGAGUUCCAGAGAACACCCAGUGCUGAGUACCAAGCUAUUUGAAUGAAGUCACCUUAGACUUUCUAUCUUGGAUGAAUUUGGUCCAUCAGGUAUCUGCAGUCACAUGAAUGAGCACAC